UACGUAGGAGACAAACGUUAUCCGGAGUUACUGGGCGUAAAGGGCGUGUAGGUGGUUAUGUAAGUCUGGCGUGAAAUUUUUCGGCUUAACCGGGAAAGGUCGUCGGAUACUGCACAACUAGAGGACGGUAGAGGCGUGUGGAAUUCCGGGUGUAGUGGUGAAAUGCGUAGAGAUCCGGAGGAACACCAGUGGCGAAGGCGACACGCUGGGCCGUACCUGACACUGAUGCGCGACAGCAUGGGGAGCAAACAGG
rnacentral:rRNA from 1 species